rnacentral:lncRNA from 1 species
AUUUAAAAAAAAAUCAAAUGGAAGUUUAAAAUAAAAACUUUCAUUUAUCAAGUAGCACUCCAUCAAAACACAAACUGUUACCAGUGAUUUGUGAUAUUGUAGCACUACUAAAAUGUAUGUCCCCUUUAGGGAUACUUUAAGUAAAUACCAUUUAAAUAUUAAAAUAAAAGUAUAUUUCUAUCGCUGUCCUGAGUUUAUAGUUUUAGAAGCU